rnacentral:rRNA from 1 species
AUUGAACGCUGGCGGCAGGCCUAACACAUGCAAGUCGAACGGUAACAGGAAGAAGCUUGCUUCUUUGCUGACGAGUGGCGGACGGGUGAGUCAUGUCUGGGAAACUGCCUGAUGGAGGGGGAUAACUACUGGAAACGGUAGCUAAUACCGCAUAACGUCGCAAGCCCAAAGAGGGGGACCUUCGGGCCUCUUGCCAUCGGAUGUGCCCAGAUGGGAUUAGCUAGUAGGUGGGGUAACGGCUCACCUAGGCGACGAUCCCUAGCUGGUCUGAGAGGAUGACCGGCCACACUGGAACUGAGACACGGUCCAGACUCCUACGGGAGGCAGCAGUGGGGAAUAUUGCACAAUGGGCGCAAGCCUGAUGCAGCCAUGCCGCGUGUAUGAAGAAGGCCUUCGGGUUGUAAAGUACUUUCAGCGGGGAGGAAGGGAGUAAAGUUAAUACCUUUGCUCAUUGACGUUACCCGCAGAAGAAGCACCGGCUAACUCCGUG